UUUGGAUUGAGGAGUGUUUUUAGCCUAUAAAAAUGCUUGGUUUCUAGUUAGUUUUUCAUACUCUUAAAUAUUAGUAUAUUCAAUUUUUGCUUAACCAUUGAGUUUACAAAAUUUGUGUUUGUAGGUUAGACCAAUUGGAACAAGUUUUAAGGAUGUGGAUUUUCUAAAUGUUUUAUAGCCUCAAUUUAGCUGAUGUUUUCUGUGUAUCUGCUUCAUUGAAAAGGCAAUUAUUUACUUCAUCAAUAAAAUGUGGACAGAUACAAACUUCUUUAAAAAGAAAAUCUUGACAUAAACAAUGAAAAAAGUUAAGUAUCCUGCUCUCUGGUAUCACUGCAUAACUUGGAAAAUCUGUUGUUUUCACUAAAGGGUAAUGUUGAAUAGCCUACAUUAUACAAAGUUCACAUGAAAAGCAAGUAACUUGUCAAGAUGGAGUGCCCUUAUUUUCUAUUUUUAGGGAAUUUUUAAGUAAUGGUCUUCUUUGACUUCUUUCUAAGGUCAUUUUAGAACAUAAAAUAGCAUGUAAUCUCAAACUUCUUUCAACUUAUAGAAAAUGCCCACUGCAGCAUUUUUGUCUUAUGACUUGAGGUUCUUUUUUUUUUUUUUUUCCUUUUAGUUAGGUCUUUAAAUUACAUUCUAUUCUGUCUGUACUUUGGAGAUGCUUCUAGAAUGAUUAUUUUACAACUUACAUAAUCAAGAAGGUUUUUUGUUUGUUUGGUUGGUUGGUUGGCUUUGGUUUUUUGUUUGGUUUUGGUUUUUCUAACCAUUGGAAUCUUAGUCUUCAUUUUAAACUAGACAGUAAGAGAUUAGGUACAGUAGAGCUGAUUUAUGAUGAAUGGGUGGGAGGUGUGUAACUAAAUUUCUGAUCUUGGCCUUCUUUUUAGUGCUUGAAAAACCAGCCACAUUUUUUACCAUAACCUUGAAACUUAAAGGACAUGGGGGAUUGGAUAUAAUUUCUUUUCAGCUCUGUGUCCUUUCUAUUUCCUAUAAAUUCAGAAGCAUGCUUAAUAUGAUAGCAUUCUUUUCCUAAAACACUGCUUCUUAAGGAUCAAUACUUGUAUCUGAAAUUGUUCUGAAAUUCUUUAGGUUGAUGGAUUUGUUUGUUUAGUGCUUUUUCCUGAAUUUGGUGAAUUUACCCAUGGCGCCUCUUGCUUAUAGCCAUUUUUAAAAUGGCUUUCAGUAAUGGUCUGUUGUGUUGCAAGUAGAAACUAUUGUAUAACAGCAAUAGAAAUCUCUCAAGUUUCUAUUAGCUAUAACUUUUGAAAGAAUAUAGUUUUCAGAGUUACUAAGGAUAGUAAGUAGUUGAUAGCACCUCACAUUCUAGCAUUAUUUUGUUUGGCUACGUUCCAUUUCAGUUCUUUCACGGGGUUUUAGUUAACUUUCUUAGAACAUAAGAUAUAAGAAGACUGUAACAGAUAAAACUUAGAAAUUAACAUCCAAUUAUAAAGCUUCAUUUUGGGCUUUCAUAAAAGGCAAGUUGUGUCAAUUGAUGCUAUAUUUUCGUAUAGCUGAAGCUCUCUAAUCCCAAUUUGAGAAAAUUACAUUGCCUGCCCAUGUUUAUAUUCUAUUUAGAUCUUUCAGGAACAGUGCCUAUUUUAGAAAUUGAUUGAUUUGAGGGAAUUUGAAAAGUUAAAACAAUGGAUUUUUAAAACAGUGCAGUAUAGAUGACCUCAUAUAUUUGGGAGGGUUGUGAUGGUUUACCUUUAUUAAUUUGUACAUUUUUCACCAUAGAAGACUUCUCUUGUAGUGAAUAUAAAUAAUUUAAACUUAGGAAACAUAGCUAAUUAUGUUGUAAUUUAGGAAAUAAGCGGAGGCAUUUUGGUGGCGAAGCCCACCUUAACUAUUAAUAUUGGAUAAAAAGUUAAACUGGAUUUUUUUCCCUAGAGAUAGGGUAAUUAAUUUGAAUCAAAUAAAUUUAGUUAAUGCUUUAUAUUUUAAAAUAGAUCUCAAAGAAGAAAAUAUUGAUGGAAUACAUUGUUUUCUUCAAAUUUGGGAGAAAAAGACACGUUAAAAUUCUAUUUUAGGGAAAUAUGGAAACUUAAAAUUUUGAUAAAUGGGGACCAUUUCUUAGAUAAGCCAUUUACAUUAAAUCAUGUUGGCCUUUUUUGACAGUGCUUUUGUUAUUGUUGUUGAAGUUUUGUUUAAUUUUUGGUUUGGGGGGGU
rnacentral:lncRNA from 1 species